AUUGAACGCUGGCGGCAUGCCUUACACAUGCAAGUCGAACGGCAGCACGGGGGCAACCCUGGUGGCGAGCGGCGAACGGGUGAGUAAUACAUCGGAACAUGCCCAGUCGUGGGGGAUAACACUUCGAAAGAAGUGCUAAUCCCGCAUACGUCCUGAGGGAGAAAGCGGGGGAUCUUCGGACCUCGCGCGAUUGGAGUGGCCGAGGUCAGAUUAGCUAGUUGGUGGGGUAAACGCCGACCAAGGCAGCGAUCUGUAGCUGGUCUGAGAGGACGAUCAGCCACACUGGGACUGAGACACGGCCCAGACUCCUACGGGAGGCAGCAGUGGGGAAUCUUGCGCUAAUGCGGGAAACCGUGACGCAGCGACGCCGCGUGAGGGAAGAAGGCCUUCGGGUUGUAAACCUCUUUCAGGAGGGACGAAGCUACUCGGGUGAAUAGCCCAGAGGGUGACGGUACCUCCAGAAGAAGCCCCGGCUAACUACGUGCCAGCCGCCGCAGUAACAC
rnacentral:rRNA from 1 species